UACGUAGGGUGCGAGCGUUAAUCGGAAUUACUGGGCGUAAAGCGUGCGCAGGCGGUUUUGUAAGCCAGAUGUGAAAGCCCCGGGCUUAACCUGGGAAUGGCAUUUGGGACUGCAAGGCUUGAGUGCGGCAGAGGAGACUGGAAUUCCAGGUGUAGCGGUGAAAUGCGUAGAUAUCUGGAGGAACACCGGUGGCGAAGGCGGCAUCCUGGACCGACACUGACGCUGAGGCGCGAAAGCUAGGGUAGCAAACGGG
rnacentral:rRNA from 1 species